ACUGCGUGACUGGUCUCCGCUACCGUCUACCUUUUUCAUUUAUCUGUGUUAGGGUUUUUAGAUAUCAGGAUUGUUCUCCUUCCCUCAAAUUCACCUUAUUAGCUUUUUCAAAGUUCAGAAUAGUUAGCGUCCUCCGUAUAACUGCGGUUUUAAACCGACAUUUGUCCGUACCCAAGAUUCUUACGAAGAUCGAAAUUCUUCCGCGUCUUUGUUUUGGCUACGCUUCAACGCGGACAACGACGUAUGGCUUCUUCCUCAAUAAUCACUCCUGAAGAUGUGUUGGAGUCGCUGAUGAAUGACGGCUCAAUUGAUGCCCUCAGAUUGAAGAUCAUCAACCAGCUCAAAGCCAAUGAGGAAUUGAAGAGUACUACUAUAAAGAUGGCCGAACAGAGCAAGGUUCUUAACACCCCCGGUGCUGAAAAACAGACUAAAAGAGAGCUCUUUGAUGCUCUUCGGCAAGAACUUGAAGCUUCUGUACUCGAAAAAGCCUCAAAAUCAGUUUGGGAUUUAAUUGUAGACAAUAAUGGCCUGGGAAAGGAGAUAAGUGAAACUGUUGAGCGAGUGUUUUGUCGACUGAGUGGCCAGGAACCUCCAUUGUUUCCACUUCCUAAUGGAGAGCAGCAAUCUGAAAAGGAGGCUGGCAACAGAAAAGAAAAAGGCAAGGGAAAGCAGAAGGAAAAUGAAAUCCCAAAUACAAAUACUCCGUCAAAGAAAAGAAGCUUCAGUGAAAUAAAUUUGGAAGGACCAGAUGAAACUUCAACCAGGUUCUCUGAUCCCGCGGCAGUAUUGGAAGGUUCUGGCAAAUCACCUGUAUCAAUUUCGAAGACUUGAGUUGCAAAUUCGACAAUCCUUUUGUAACUGCAGUGAUCAAAUCUGCAUUCUUUUUGCUUUUGGAGCGCGGGAUGCCUACAACUACAAGCUCCGCAAUUGCUUUCGCAAGAUUCUCGCGUGACAUUAUUACUAUGGUACAUAUGCAAAUAUUUUGGAAUACCUCUAGGGGUUCUUUAGGAUCGAAGGAGUUGUUCAUUUUUGAAUCUUUACAAAUGAACGAAGAAUUUUUCUAUUUGAAACAAGUCAACGAGGCAGAAAAUCACCUAUUUGUUGGGCGAAAUGCACUCGCUAAGCGAGAAUGAGAAUGUUUUUGCGAAAAGUAAGAGAAAUAGGAAUGUUUCACUAGCUGUGAAAUAAGACACGAAUUUAUGAAAAUUGUUCUCAGAGGUCUUGUUUGUUAAGCGAGUGAAACACCGAUGAAUUUUUGUUCCUCCGUAGGAAAGGGGUUGCAUAUAAGAUGAGAAAGGUUAAGAUAUGAAGUGUUUUAAAAUGUGUUUAAAUGUCGAUUAAUUAUUGAAAGAGAGAUGCAAUGUAAGUAAUGAAUGAGAAGAAAAUGUUUAGAUAUAAAUGUGAUGAUGCAUGUGAUGAAUGAGAUGAAAAUGUUUAGAUCUAAAUGUGAUGAUGCAUGUGAUGAAUGAGAUGAAAAUGUUUAGAUCUAAAUGUGAUGAUGCAUGUGAUCAAGCAUAUUGUAUAUGUGAUUGGUGUUGAUGAAGGUGGAAUGACUUUCAAGGAAGAAAAUAUUUCAUUUUAGUGUUAAUGUGUAUUGAAUAGGGAUUCAAAUAGGAGAUUAUUUGGAUUUUAUUAAGUUUUUUAACUCACAUAAAAGAGAUAUUUAGGUAGUGAAGAUUUCUAGGAUGGGAUUUAGUUUGAAAGAGAAUCUUUGAGGCAUGUCAUGGUGAGUUUACUCUAUAAUAUGAGAUGAGAGUGAUAAAUUUUCGAAAUUUAUAUGACCGGUGUAAAAUCCUCGAGUUUAAGUUUUAUUCUUUCUAAAUAUACUUUAUUUGUUAUUUGUUAUGAUC